UACGAAGGGGGCUAGCGUUGCUCGGAAUCACUGGGCGUAAAGGGUGCGUAGGUGGGCAGGUAAGUCAGUGGUGAAAUCUCCGAGCUUAACUCGGAAACUGCCGUUGAUACUAUUUGUCUUGAAUAUUGUGGAGGUAAGCGGAAUAUGUCAUGUAGCGGUGAAAAUGCUUAGAUAUGACAUAGAACACCAAUUGCGAAGGCAGCUUACUACACAACGAUUGACGCUGAGGCACAAAAGCGUGGGGAUCAAACAGG
rnacentral:rRNA from 1 species